UACGGGGGGGGGCAAGCGUUUGUUCGGAAUUACUGGGCGUAAAGGGCUCGUAGGCGGCCAACUAAGUCAGACGUGAAAUCCCUCGGCUUAACCGGGGAACUGCGUCUGAUACUGGAUGGCUUGAGUUUGGGAGAGGGAUGCGGAAUUCCAGGUGUAGCGGUGAAAUGCGUAGAUAUCUGGAGGAACACCGGUGGCGAAAGCGGCUCACUGGAUCUCUUCUGACGCUGAGGCACGAAAGCUAGGGUAGCGAACGGG
rnacentral:rRNA from 1 species